rnacentral:rRNA from 1 species
CCAAUAGCGUAUAUUAAAGUUGCUGCAGUUAAAAAGCUCGUAGUUGGAUUUCGGAACCAAUAUGUUGGUUGUGCCUCGGUACGUACUGGCAUUGUUGGUUUCUCCCUUCUGACGAACUAUGAUGUCAUUAAUUUGGUGUCAUGGGGAAUCAGGACUGUUACUUUGAAAAAAUUAGAGUGUUUAAAGCAGGCUCACGCUUGGAAUAAUGAAAUAGGACGUU